rnacentral:lncRNA from 1 species
CCGCACAAGGGACAGCUCCGGCGGACUCUCAACCGAUUGCUAGUAAUCCGAAUGAUGAAGCUAGACAAGCUUUCUAUAGCGUAAUGAAUGAUUGGUUCAACCAAUACAUUCGAACUAAUACGGCUGUUCCACAACCUCUAUUCCCGACUAAUGCCACCCCCGCACCUACAAUACCUCCGGUAACUGACCAAAUAAGGUCAAAUAAGCCCCCAGUUGACAGAAUCCGAAAACACGGGGCUACUGAAUUUAAAGUUACGGACAGCGAUGAUGCCG